CUUUUGAAAACGAGAUUUACGACAACCUCACGUGUUACUCGUGCAGCCGGCGAUGAGGUUUGGUUAGGUUAGGUCAUAGGUUAGGUGUAUCUCAUACUUACUAAUCACGGAUAGCAGUUCUUUAUAUUUUAACAUUAUCGCCGCUGAAAAACGCCCCUCUGGAAAUAUGGAAGGAACUUCUGCGGCAAAUUUAAGUGACUCGGAGAGAGAGCAGCUGAUGCAGAACCUGAAGCAACAAAUAGCUGUCGCUAAUACCCAGGAGCUGCUAGUGAAAAUGACGGAAAAGUGCUUCAAAAAAUGCAUAGUCAAGCCGGGCACAUCACUGGAUAGCACGGAACAGAAAUGCUUAGCAAUGUGCAUGGACCGGUACAUUGACUCUUUCAAUCUUGUGUCGAGAGCGUAUGGUGAGCGAAUCCAAAGAGAGCGCAACAGGUUAUAGAUAGGAAAGUUCGAGGGAACUACGCUGUCACUUGUUACAAACAGCGUAACUUUAGCACCAUUAUCAAAGGAUACUAUAGUAUAUUGUACAUAUGCAUUUACUUUUGUAAAAGCAACAAAGAUAUAUCUACGUUACAAAUAUACGCGGAGAAAUCGCGAUGCUAGUCAGCACCCUUUGAAGAACAGAAGAAGGAAGAGACACACAAGCAACUCUUCAACAAUUCCCUUCGUUUCACAGAGUUUCUAAAAUUUCAUUUCGGAGGCUUUCGGUUUCAGACGGGCUUCCUGUCGCUC